AGUGAACGCUGGCGGUAGGCCUAACACAUGCAAGUCGAACGGCAGCACAGUAAGAGCUUGCUCUUACGGGUGGCGAGUGGCGGACGGGUGAGGCAUACAUCGGAAUCUACUUUUUCGUGGGGGAUAACGUAGGGAAACGUACGCUAAUACCGCAUACGACCUACGGGUGAAAUCAGGGGAUCUUCGGACCUUUCGCGAUUGAAUGAGCCGAUGUCGGAUUAGUUAGUUGGCGGGGUAAAGGCCCACCAAGGCGACGAUCCGUAGCCGGUCUGACAGGAUGAUCAGCCACACUGGAACUGAGACACGGUCCAGACUCCUACGGGAGGCAGCAGUGGGGAAUAUUGGACAAUGGGCGAAAGCCUGAUCCAGCCAUACCGCGUGGGUGAAGAAGGCCUUCGGGUUGUAAAGCCCUUUUGUUGGGAAAGAAAAGCAGCAGGUUAAUACCCCGCUGUUCUGACGGUACCCAAAGAAUAAGCACCGGCUAACUUCGUG
rnacentral:rRNA from 1 species